rnacentral:rRNA from 1 species
UGGGGGAAUCUUGCGCAAUGGGGCGAAAGCCUGACGCAGCCAUGCCCGCGUGGAUGAUGAGGUCUUAGGGAUUGUAAAAUCCUUUCNCCGGUGAAGAUAAUGACUGUAGCCGGAGAAGAAGCCCCCGGCUAACUUCGUGCCAGCAGCCGCGGUAAUACGAAGGGGGGCUAGCGUUGCUCGGAAUUACUGGGCGUAAAGGGAGCGUAGGCGGACAUUUUAAGUCAGGGGGUGAAAUCCCGAGGCUCAACCUCGGAACUGCCUUUGAUACUGGGUGUCUUGAGUGUGAGAGAGGUAUGUGGAACUCCGAGUGUAGNGGUGAAAUUCGUAGAUAUUCGGAAGAACACCAGUGGCGAAGGCGACAUACU